rnacentral:rRNA from 1 species
AGAGUUUGAUCCUGGCUCAGAGCGAANGCUGGCGGCGUGCUUAACACAUGCAAGUCGAGUGCGCAGUCUUCUGUAGCAAUACAGGAGAUCGGCGCACGGCGCACGGGUGCGUAAAACGUGGGUAACCUGCCCUCCAAAGGGGGAUAACCCGCCGAAAGGCGGGCUAAUACCGCAUGACAUUCCGGUGGCUUCGGCCGCCGGAAUCAAAGCCCGCAAGGGCGUUGGGGGAGGGGCCCGCGGCCGAUUAGCUUGUUGGCGAGGUAAUGGCUCACCAAGGCUUUGAUCGGUAGCCGGUCUGAGAGGAUGGCCGGCCACACUGGAACUGAGACACGGUCCAGACUCCUACGGGAGGCAGCAGUGGGGAAUCUUGCGCAAUGGGCGAAAGCCUGACGCAGCGACGCCGCGUGGGGGAUGAAGCUUCUCGGAGUGUAAACCCCUUUCGACCCGGACGAAACGCCCGCAAGGGCUUGACGGUACGGGUAUAAGAAGCCCCGGCUAACUACGUGCCAGCAGCCGCGGUAAGACGUAGGGGGCCAGCGUUGCUCGGAAUUACUGGGCGUAAAGGGUUCGUAGGCGGUGUGGUAAGUCGGAAGUGAAAUCUCUGGGCUUAACUCAGAGGCUGCUUUCGAAACUGCCGCGCUAGAGUGCGGGAGAGGCGAGUGGAAUUACAGGUGUAGCGGUGAAAUGCGUAGAUAUCUGUAGGAACACCCGUGGCGAANGCGGCUCGCUGGACCGCAACUGACGCUGAGGAACGAAAGCUAGGGGAGCAAACAGGAUUAGAUACCCUGGUAGUCCUAGCCCUAAACCAUCAGGACUUGGGGUGGCCCGCGUUGGCGGGUCGUCCCGGAGCUAACGCGUUAAGUCCUGCGCCUGGGGAGUACGGUCGCAAGGCUGAAACUCAAAGGAAUUGACGGG